GAGUGGGUCUGAGAUGAAACAGACAAAACAUCUGAAGAUUUAAGGAAGCUGUACCAGGCAGGAUGAAGAGCAAAUGCAAAGACUCAGAAGGAAACUAGCUCAGCAUGGUCAAGGAACAGCGAGGAGGCUGGCGUGGGUAGUGCAGAGCAAGCAAAGGGAUAACCAGCAGCAGAGGAAGUGAGAGAGUGAGAGAAGAGGGCUUGCAGACAUUCUAGGCCAUGGUCAGAAACUUAGGGUUGGUGCUAAAUGUGAUGGAAGACCAUGGAAAUGUUUGAGUAGUAGAGUCAUGUGAAUUGAUCAACGUAUUCAAAAGAUUCCAUUCACCUUGAAAAUACAAGUAACCUCAGAUGCUAGGAAUUCCAACUUCUGGGUUCACUCAGUUCUCUAAGACCUUGUUUUGUCAGCAUGAGAGCUAUGGAACUACUCUGGCCCCCACAUGAAGGAACACAGAGCCAAUCCGAGAGCUCCUCGGGCAACAUAUGUCAACAGCUUAACAGCAAAAAAUCUUCCUACCAGCCUGAUGCGACUUCAGUAAAGAUUUAUGUCCAGGAAGUUAAUGAAUUCCUUUUAAAUACCAAUUGUGGAUUUUAAAAUAAAGAUAGUCUACCUGUAUCAGGCUCUCCUCGACAGUUUGUGAUUUCAUUGUCUGAAGAGAGGUGAACGGGGGUGAAGACAGAGGAAGGCCCUCUCCCUGAGGAUUUCCAAAGGUCUAAUUCCUUAGGAGAAUUUACAAGACUUGAGAAAGGGUA